CCUGCAUGAAGCCGGAAUCGCUAGUAAUCGCGGAUCAGCAUGCCGCGGUGAAUACGUUCCCGGGCCUUGUACACACCGCCCGUCACACCACGAGAGCUUGCAACACCCGAAGUCGGUGAGGUAACCCUUACGGGAGCCAGCCGCCGAAGGUGGGGCAAGUGAUUGGGGUGAAGUCGUAACAAGGUAGCCGUACCGGAAGGUGCGGCUGGAUCACCUCCUUUCUAAGGGGA
rnacentral:rRNA from 1 species